rnacentral:rRNA from 1 species
AAACUUUCAACAACGGAUCUCUUGGUUCUGGCAUCGAUGAAGAACGCAGCGAAAUGCGAUAAGUAAUGUGAAUUGCAGAAUUCAGUGAAUCAUCGAAUCUUUGAACGCACAUUGCGCCCUCUGGUAUUCCGAAGAGCAUGCCUGUUCGAGCGUCAUUU